UACAGAGGUCCCAAGCGUUGUUCGGAAUUAUUGGGCGUAAAGGGUGCGUAGGCGGUAGGAUAAGUUAGAUGUGAAAUGUCGGCGCUUAACGUCGAACCUGCAUUUAAGACUGUCCUGCUUGAGCACUAGAGAGGAGUCUGGAAUUUACGGUGUAGCAGUGAAAUGCGUAGAUAUCGUAAGGAAGACCAGUGGCGAAGGCGGGUCUCUGGACAGUUCCUGACGCUGAGGCACGAAGGUCAGGGGAGCAAACGGG
rnacentral:rRNA from 1 species